AUUAUUCAUGAUAUCUUCCCAGAAUAUUAUGAAUAAUGUCACGGGGUGUA
rnacentral:miRNA from 1 species